rnacentral:rRNA from 1 species
UAGGGAAUCUUCCACAAUGGACGCAAGUCUGAUGGAGCAACGCCGCGUGAGUGAAGAAGGUUUUCGAAUCGUAAAGCUCUGUUGUUGGUGAAGAAGGAUAGAGGCAGUAACUGGUCUUUAUUUGACGGUAAUCAACCAGAAAGUCACGGCUAACUACGUGCCAGCAGCCGCGGUAAUACGUAGGUGGCAAGCGUUGUCCGGAUUUAUUGGGCGUAAAGCGAGCGCAGGCGGAAUGAUAAGUCUGAUGUGAAAGCCCACGGCUCAACCGUGGAACUGCAUCGGAAACUGUCAUUCUUGAGUGCAGAAGAGGAGAGUGGAAUUCCAUGUGUAGCGGUGGAAUGCGUAGAUAUAUGGAAGAACACCAGUGGCGAAGGCGGCUCUCUGGUCUGCAACUGACGCUGAGGCUCGAAAGCAUGGGUAGCGAACAGG